CCAUGAAACUGGGAGAUGCUCAAGGAGCGAAAGGCAGAGAGCACUUCCUCCAAUUGCUUCUUCUCUUUGUGGCCUGACGAAGAUGCUCUGAGCUGUCUGUGGCAGGAGAUGCUCUGCUGGGACCUGACAGGAGAUGGGACUGAUGGAAUUCAGAGAGUGAGAAAAGCACAAAAGUUAAUUACAACCAGACCAAGGCUGACUCCCAGAGCCGCCAAGCACAGACCUGAUUUCCAAAAAUAAGGGAAUAUUUAUCUAGCACGCUGUCCCUAUGAUUGCUACUUAGCUGCAUCACAUAGGAAGCAAUCCAAU
rnacentral:lncRNA from 12 species